GUCAUUUUAGAGUAGUUUUAUAUGGUUAACCCAACUUCUGACGUCACUAAAACUAUAGUUAAUUAGGUGAAGAAUUAGUCCAAGAUGGCGGACAGCUCAUUAAUUUCGAUUUAAAUAUUUCGAGCAAAAUAUGAGAAAGGAGAACUAAGAAGAGACAAAUGGUAAUUGUUGAACAGCCACUAUAAUGACAUAUCGUUGGGAUACCCUAAUAAAGGAAGAAUCAAAGGUUUAGAUUACCGUACCAGAGUCUUUCUUCUUGCGUCGUUCCUCUCUGGCUUUUUGCCUGUCAGCUUCAGCCUGAUUGGUCUCAGCUUCUCUCUGCUUUCGUCUCUCUUCACGUUCUAAUCUCCGCUUUUCACGUUGUUGGGCCAAAUCAUCCUGGGAAAUUUAAAACAAGGCAAUUAUAGGAUGAAUUUGGGUAUAUAAUAAUAAUAGUCCCCGAGCCAACGACGCGAAGCUCUUUCCCUGGCUUAAGCCCAGGGCGAGGUACUAAUUCCGCUCGGCUAUUUACACCCGGGAAAAGGAAAACAUUAGGGAAGUUUGAAGUUCAUC